rnacentral:rRNA from 1 species
AGAACGAACGCUGGCGGCAUGCCUAAUACAUGCAAGUCGAACGAACUCUUCGGAGUUAGUGGCGCACGGGUGCGUAACGCGUGGGAAUCUGCCCUUGGGUUCGGAAUAACAGUUGGAAACGACUGCUAAUACCGGAUGAUGACGAAAGUCCAAAGAUUUAUCGCCCAGGGAUGAGCCCGCGUAGGAUUAGCUAGUUGGUGAGGUAAAGGCUCACCAAGGCGACGAUCCUUAGCUGGUCUGAGAGGAUGAUCAGCCACACGUGGGACUGAGACACGGCCCAGACUCCUACGGGAGGCAGCAGUAGGAAUAGUUGGACAGUGGGACGAAAGCCGUGACUCCAGCAAUCGCCGCGUGAGUGAGUGGAACGGUCCGUUUAGGGUAGUAAAGUCUUUACCGUUUAACCCGAGUACUAGAAUAAGUGAACGUAAGGUA